UACGUAGGGGGCAAGCGUUGUCCGGAAUUACUGGGCGUAAAGGGCGGGUAGGCGGCCACCGCAAGUCAGUUGUGAAAUCUCUGGGCUUAACCCAGAAAGGUCAACUGAUACUGCGGGGCUAGAGUGCAGAAGGGGCAACUGGAAUUCUCGGUGUAGCGGUGAAAUGCGUAGAUAUCGAGAGGAACACCUGCGGCGAAGGCGGGUUGCUGGGCUGACACUGACGCUGAACUGCGAAAGCUAGGGGAGCGAACGGG
rnacentral:rRNA from 1 species